rnacentral:rRNA from 1 species
UAUGUGAUCGUCUCUCGCAUAUCAAUAAGCGGAGGAAAAGAAACUAACAAGGAUUCCCCUAGUAACGGCGAGUGAAGCGGGAAGAGCUCAAAUUUGAAAUCUUAAAGGGUUUCCCUUUACGAAUUGUAGUUUAAAGAAGUGUUUUCUGUUGAGGUUUUGGUAAAAGUUCUUUGGAAUAGGACAUCAUAGAGGGUGAGAAUCCCGUAUUUGACCUUUACUUUCAACUUUGUGAUACACUUUCAAAGAGUCGGAUUGUUUGGGAAUGCAGUCCAAAAUGGGUGGUAAAUUUCAUCUAAAGCUAAAUAUUGGCGAGAGACCGAUAGCGAACAAGUACCGUGAGGGAAAGAUGAAAAGAACUUUGAAAAGAGAGUUAAACAGUACGUGAAAUUGUCAAAAGGGAAGCGUUUGACACCAGUGUUGUUUUUCUGAAAAUCAAUUAAAGAACUGUUUAUGCUAAGUUGUUUAGACUUUAUCAGGCUAUCUGUUUAGUUUUGAGCUUUUCUUUAAUGCACUUUUCAGUUAACAAGUCAACAUCAAUUUCUUUUGCUGUAAAAAAGCUUGAGGAAGGUGGCUUGAGAUUCGUCUUAAGUGUUUAUAGCCUCUUGCCUAUGCAGUCGGAGAGAUUGAGGUCUGCAGCGUAGAUCCUUCGGGGCUAAAUGCAUUUGUGCUAAGUUAUAGCAUUUUAUAGACAACUUGUUGACUAUGAUUUGUCUUGUAGCUUACUCGCUUAUGUUAUUUUACCUACGCUUAGGAUGUUGAUCUGUAGUGCGUGCGC